ACAAAAGCUGCUUGCAGAAGAGGAGAGAGGCUAUUGAAACAAUCAAAUACGGGUCUGGGUCUAAAGUUUGUUUUCCUGAAAAUCAGACUGAAAGGAAAGCAACAAAUCCAAAAACCAAUAGACUGAAAAUAUCUGAUAGGUAUGAUGAAAGAGAUGAAGUGGGACAGAUGACACACUAAUGUUUGAGUUUUGCUCAAAAAUGUUUAAUGGUAUAUCCAUGGGAAAUUCAGAGAUCAUAUCCACACUGCACAGCUGAAUUUUGCUGGAGUUGGGUACAUGGUUGAAGUGAUGGUAGAAAGAGGCCCUGGGACCAUCAUGUUUAUCUAACAACCACCCCAUGCAUUCGCUUUGACCUGUGCUCUCCUUCCAUGCAACGCCUGGCUCACCUGGUGCCACAGACAGCCUUUCACGAGUGAUGUAGCAUUCUUCCCUGCAGUGAGUAA